GAAUAUUGGGCAAUGGGCGAAAGCCUGAUCCAGCCAUGCCGCGUGAGUGAUGAAGGCCUUAGGGUUGUAAAGCUCUUUCACCGGGGAAGAAAAUGACGGAACCCGGAGAAGAAGCCCCGGCUAACUCCGUGCCAGCAGCCGCGGUAAUACGGAGGGGGCUAGCGUUGUUCGGAAUUACUGGGCGUAAAGCGCGCGUAGGCGGCUUGGCAAGUUAGGUGUGAAAGCCCGGGGCUUAACCCCGGAAUUGCACUUAAAACUGCUAGGCUAGAGGCCGAGAGAGGUGAGUGGAAUUCCCAGUGUAGAGGUGAAAUUCGUAGAUAUUGGGAAGAACACCAGUGGCGAAGGCGGCUCACUGGCUCGGUUCUGACGCUGAGGUGCGAAAGCGUGGGGAGCAAACAG
rnacentral:rRNA from 1 species